rnacentral:rRNA from 1 species
GAUGAACGCUGGCGGCGUGCCUAACACAUGCAAGUCGAACGGACGGACGCGAAGCUUUUUUCUCUGAGGGUAGCGGCGGACGGGUGGGUAACACGUGGAUAGCAAACUUCUAAUUCUUGGUGGAUAACGGGAAGCAAGAGCUGCUAAUACGGAAUAUUUUGAACCGGUUGGAUCAAGGGUGAAAGACGGUUUUGGUGUCAGUUAGAGAUGGAUCCGCGCUGCAUUAGCUAGUUGGUAAGGUAACGGCUUACCAAGGCAACGAUGCAUAGCCGACCUGAGAGGGUGAUCGGCCACACUGGAACUGAGACACGGUCCAGACUCCUACGGGAGGCAGCAGUAGGGAAUAUUACGCAAUGGGCGAAAGCCUGAUGAAGCAACGCCGCGUGAGUGAUGAAGGUCUUCGGAUCGUAAAGCUCUUUUAUUGGGAAAGAAGAUAUGCGGAAUUAUCUGUGGAUGUCUUGACGGUACCUAAACAGAAAGCCCCGGCUAACUACGUG